rnacentral:lncRNA from 1 species
AAAGCUGGGGCCAUGAAAGCUACAGUGGAAGUCACAAACGGAAGAGGAGAUCUCAUAGCAGUACGCAGGAGAAUAGGCAUUGUAAACCACAUCAUCAGUUUAAAGACACUGAUUGUCACUAUUUAGAAGCAAGAUGCUUGAAUGAGAGAGAUUAUCGGGAUCGGAGAUACAUUGAUGAAUACAGAAAUGACUACUGUGAAGGAUAUGUUCCAAGACAUUACCAUAGAGACAUUGAAAGCACUUACCGGAUCCAUUGCAGUAAAUCCUCAGUCAGAAGCAGGAGAAGCAGCCCUAAAAGAAAACGUAACAGACACUGUGCGAGUCAUCAGUCACAUUCGGUAUGAGUGAUUUGUUUUUAUUUGAAUGGAUUGAUCGUAAAGCUCUAAAAGAGUGAUAAGUUUCUAAAAGUUGCUUAAUGCAAUUUGGAUAUGCUGUAAUUAUAUUCAUGUUACUUGAAUCCUUAAAGGAAAUGUACACGUUCUCAUAAUUGACCACCUGUGUAUUAUUUAGUCUUCAUUUUGCCCACACACUCAUUCUGCAAAACAGAUCAUGAGUUUGUUGGUUUUAAUAGUAAGAACAUCUUAUUUUGUGGUUGUAUAGUGUAUUAAAAAAUGAGGCACCCAUUUUUUCUUCUAUGAACGUAAAGUUUUUUUUUAUUUUGAAAGAAACUGCUUUACUGGUAGUUGGAAACAACUCAGGCAAGUCACGCUGCUGGGGUGUUUAGCU